rnacentral:rRNA from 1 species
AUUGAACGCUGGCGGAAGGCCUAACAAAUGCAAGUCGAACGAGUGGCGGACGGGUGAGUCAUGUCUGGGAAAAUGCCUGAUGGAGGGGGAUAACUACUGGAAAAGGUAGCUAAUACCGCAUAACAUCAGGUGUGACAAGAUGGGAUUAGCUUGUUGGUGGGGUAAAGGCUAACCAAGGCGACGAUCCCUAGCUGUUCUGAGAGGAUGACCAGCCACACUGGAACUGAGACACGGUCCAGACUCCUACGGGCGGCAGCAGUGGGGAAUAGUGCACAAUGGGCGCAAGCCUGAUGCAGCCAUGCCGCGUGUAUGAAGAAGGCCUUCGGGUUGUAAAGUACUUUCAGCGGGGAGGCGUUACCCGCAGAAGAAGCACCGGCUAACUCCGUGCCAGCAGCCGCGGUAAUUC